rfam:Mycobacterium arosiense ATCC BAA-1401 = DSM 45069 Mycobacterium_arosiense_DSM45069_contig38, whole genome shotgun sequence.
AGCGCCGCGCAAGUGGGCCGACGGUCGACUCCGGCGGCGCUAGGAGCCCCCAGCCCGGCUCCGGAAAGCUGCAG